rnacentral:rRNA from 1 species
UACGAAGGGGGCUAGCGUUGUUCGGAAUCACUGGGCGUAAAGGGCGCGUAGGCGGCUGUUCAAGUCGGGGGUGAAAUCCCGUGGCUCAACCACGGAAUGGCCUUCGAUACUGGACGGCUCGAGACCGGAAGAGGUGAGUGGAACUGCGAGUGUAGAGGUGAAAUUCGUAGAUAUUCGCAAGAACACCAGUGGCGAAGGCGGCUCACUGGUCCGGUUCUGACGCUGAGACGCGAAAGCGUGGGGAGCGAACAGG